rnacentral:rRNA from 1 species
CCUACGGGUGGCAGCAGUGAGGAAUAUUGGUCAAUGGGCGCGAGCCUGAACCAGCCAAGUCGCGUGAGGGAAGACGGCCCUACGGGUUGUAAACCUCUUUUGCCGGGGAGCAACGGGCGCCACGUGUGGCGCCACUGAGAGUACCCGGAGAAAAAGCAUCGGCUAACUUCGUGCCAGCAGCCGCGGUAAUACGGAGGAUGCGAGCGUUAUCCGGAUUUAUUGGGUUUAAAGGGUGCGUAGGCGGAGCGUUAAGUCAGUGGUCAAAUUGAGGGGCUCAACCCCUGCCCGCCAUGGAAACUGGCGCUCUUGAGUGGAAAAGAAGUGUGCGGAAUGCGUGGUGUAGCGGUGAAAUGCAUAGAUAUCACGCGGAACCCCGGUUGCGAAAGCAGCAUGCCGGCUUCCGACUGACGCUGAAGCACGAAAGCGUGGGGAGCGAACAGGAUUAGAUACCCGAGUAGUC